rnacentral:tRNA from 1 species
GGGCCCGUGGCUCAGCCAGGAGAGAGCGCCUGGCUUCGGACCAGGAGGUCGAGGGUUCAAAUCCCUCCGGGCCCG